rnacentral:rRNA from 1 species
GACGUAGGGCGCGAGCGUUGUCCGGAUUUAUUGGGCGUAAAGAGCUCGUAGGCGGCUUGUUGCGUCGGCUGUGAAAACCCGCAGCUCAACUGUGGGCUUGCAGCCGAUACGGGCAGACUGGAGUACUGCAGGGGAGACUGGAAUUCCUGGUGUAGCGGUGGAAUGCGUAGAUAUCUGGAGGAACACCGGUGGCGAAGGCGGCAUCCUGGACCAACACUGACACUGAGGAGCGAAAGCCAGGGGAGCAAACGGG